AUCGAACGCUGGCGGCAGGCCUAACACAUGCAAGUCGAACGAGUGGCGGACGGGUGAGUAAUGUCUGGGAAACUGCCUGAUGGAGGGGGAUAACUACUGGAAACGGUAGCUAAUACCGCAUACCAUCAGAUGUGCCCAGAUGGGAUUAGCUGGUUGGUGGGGUAAUGGCUCACCAGGGCGACGAUGCCUAGCUGGUCUGAGAGGAUGACCGGCCACACUGGAACUGAGACACGGUCAAGAGGCCUACGUGAGGAAGCAGUGGGGAAUAUUGGGCAAUGGGGGAAAGCCUUAUGCAGCCAGGCCGCGGGUAUGAAGAGGGCCUUCGGGUGGUAAAGUACUUUCAGCGGGGAGGCGUUACCCGCAGAAGAAGCACCGGCUAACUCCGUGCCAGCAGCCGCGGUAAUUC
rnacentral:rRNA from 1 species